GACGAACGCUGGCGGCGUGCUUAACACAUGCAAGUCGAACGGAAAGGCCCUGCUUUUGUGGGGUGCUCGAGUGGCGAACGGGUGAGUAACACGUGAGUAACCUGCCCUUGACUUUGGGAUAACUUCAGGAAACUGGGGCUAAUACCGGAUAGGAGCUCCUGCUGCAUGGUGGGGGUUGGAAAGUUUCGGCGGUUGGGGAUGGACUCGCGGCUUAUCAGCUUGUUGGUGGGGUAGUGGCUUACCAAGGCUUUGACGGGUAGCCGGCCUGAGAGGGUGACCGGCCACAUUGGGACUGAGGUACGGACCAGACUGCUACGGGAGGCAGCAGUGGGGAAUAUUACACAGUAGGCGGAAGCCUGAUGCAGCAACGCUGCGUGCGGGAUGACGGCCUUCGGGUUGUAAACCGCUUUCGCCUGUGACGAAGCGUGAGUGACGGUAAUGGGUAAAGAAGCACCGGCUAACUACGUG
rnacentral:rRNA from 1 species